rnacentral:rRNA from 1 species
CCUACGGGUGGCAGCAGUGGGGAAUAUUGGGCAAUGGGCGCAAGCCUGACCCAGCAACGCCGCGUGAAGGAAGAAGGCUUUCGGGUUGUAAACUUCUUUUCUCAGGGACGAAGCAAGUGACGGUACCUGAGGAAUAAGCCACGGCUAACUACGUGCCAGCAGCCGCGGUAAUACGGAGGUGGCAAGCGUUAUCCGGAUUUACUGGGCGUAAAGCGCUCGUAGGCGGUAUGUCAAGUCAAGGGUGAAAUCCCCGCGCUCAACGUGGGAACUGCCUUUGAAACUGGCAAACUGGAGUGUGUGAGAGGAUAGUGGAAUUCCAGGUGUAGGAGUGAAAUCCGUAGAUAUCUGGAGGAACAUCAGUGGCGAAGGCGACUAUCUGGCACAUAACUGACGCUGAGGAGCGAAAGCGUGGGUAGCAAACAGGAUUAGAUACCCGGGUAGUC